CCUUAUUAGUUUAACCAACUAUACAUCUGCUUUACGGUUUCUUAUCACCAAUAACACAACACUCGAUUAUAACACAUACAUGCAUACCUUUAAUCCUCAUUUCUCGCCGUGUAUCAAUUUACUCAAUAAUUCUCUAACCACUUUAAAGGUAUAUCGAUUAUCUUCUCUCGUCAACAACGUACAUAUAUACAAGUCCAAACCUAACACACAUCGAGUCUUUAAU
rnacentral:lncRNA from 1 species